AUUGAACGCUGGCGGCAGGCCUAAAACAUGCAAGUCGAGCGAGCGGCGGACGGGUGAGUAAUGUCUGGGAAACUGGCUGCUGGAGGGGGAUAACUACUGGAAACGGUAGCUAAUACCGCAUACCAUCAGAUGUGCCCAGAUGGGAGUAGCUGGGAGGUGGGGUAACGGCUAACCUAGGCGACGAUCCCUAGCUGGUCUGAGAGGAUGACCAGCCACACGGGAACGUAGACACGGUCCAGACUCCUACGGGAGGCAGCAGUGGGGAAUAUUGCAGAAUGGGCGCAAGCCUGAUGCAGCCAUGCCGCGUGUGUGAAGAAGGCCUUCGGGUUGUAAAGCACUUUCAGCUGGGAGGCGUUACCCGCAGAAGAAGCACCGGCUAACUCCGUGCCAGCAGCCGCGGUAAUUC
rnacentral:rRNA from 1 species